GGGGGUUUAGCUCAGUGGUUAGAGCACUUGCCUAGCAAGCGCAAGGCCCUGGGUUCGGUCCUCAGCUCCCCCC
rnacentral:tRNA from 1 species